AGCAGCCGUGGUAAUUCCAGCUCCAAUAGCGUAUAUUAAAGUUGUUGCAGUUAAAAAGCUCGUAGUUGAAUUUCGGGAUCAGUAUGUUGGUCGUGCUUCGGUACGUACUGUCAUUACUGGUUUCUACCUUCUGAAGAACCUUGAUGUCAUUAAUUUGGUGUCUUGGGGAAUCAGGACUGUUACUUUGAAAAAUUAGAGUGUUUAAAGCAAGCAUACGCUUGAAUACAUUAGCAUGGAAUAAUGAAAUAGGACGUUUGAUUCUAUUUUGUUGGUUUCUAGGAUCGACGUAAUGAUUAAUAGGGAUAGUUGGGGGCAUUAGUAUUCAAUUGUCAGAGGUGAAAUUCUUGGAUUUAUUGAAGACUAACUACUGCGAAAGCAUUUGCCAAGGAUGUUUUCAUUAAUCAAGAACGAAAGUUAGGGGAUCGAAGACGAUCAGAUACCGUCGUAGUCUUAACCAUAAACUAUGCCGAC
rnacentral:rRNA from 1 species